rnacentral:rRNA from 1 species
GACGAACGCUGGCGGCGUGCCUAAUACAUGCAAGUAGAACGCUGAAGAGAGGAGCUUGCUCUUCUUGGAUGAGUUGCGAACGGGUGAGUAACGCGUAGGUAACCUGCCUUGUAGCGGGGGAUAACUAUUGGAAACGAUAGCUAAUACCGCAUAACAAUGGAUGACACAUGUCAUUUAUUUGAAAGGGGCAAUUGCUCCACUACAAGAUGGACCUGCGUUGUAUUAGCUAGUAGGUGAGGUAACGGCUCACCUAGGCGACGAUACAUAGCCGACCUGAGAGGGUGAUCGGCCCCACUGGGACUGAGACACGGCCCAGACUCCUACGGGAGGCAGCAGUAGGGAAUCUUCGGCAAGGGGGGCAACCCUGACCGAGCAACGCCGCGUGAGUGAAGAAGGUUUUCGGAUCGUAAAGCUCUGUUGUAAGUCAAGAACGAGUGUGAGAGUGGAAAGUUUACACUGUGACGGUAGCUUACCAGAAAGGGACGGCUAACUACGUG